rnacentral:rRNA from 1 species
CAAUAGCGUAUAUUAAAGCUGUUGCGGUUAAAAAGCUCGUAGUUGGAUUUCUGUCAAGGACAACUGGCCCGCCCUCCGGGUGAGCACAUAGUUUGGUCUUGGCAUCUUGCUGGAAACUGUUGCUGCGCUUGGUUGUGUGGUGCAGCUUUCAGCACUUUCACUUUGAGGAAAUUGGAGUGUUUCAAGCAGGCACAUGCCUUUGGACACAGUAGCAUGGAAUAAUUAGAUUGGGCUUUUGCUCCAACUUGUUGGUUCCUGGAGCUGAGGUGAGAAUCAAUGGGGAUUGUUGGGGGCAUCCGAAUUUAGCCGUCAGAGGUGAAAUUCUUGGAUCUGCUAAAGACGGACAACUGCGAAAGCGUUUGCCCAGGAUGUUUUCAUUGA